GUUAGGAUGUUGUCUCUGAUCUUAUCAAGGCUCUUGAAGUUUCUCCUGAUGAUGAAACAAUUGCAGAGGUCUUGAGGUGUGAUUUCUUGUGAAUGAUCUUCUUGGACUUUGUUAUAGCAUAUUAACAUCAAUUGUUCUUUCUUUUUCUUUUUUUAACUAGCAUAUAUUGUUUUAACAGGGAUGCUAAGGAAAGAUUACUGAAGGAGGGAGGUGCACGUGCACCAAGAGGCUUAGUAAUUGAAGAGAUAAAUGAAGAUGAGAGUGCAGCUUCUUAUGACAUUAAACGUUCAUCAACACAGUGUUCAGUCACACAAUCACGAGACAUCAAUGACUCAGGUAAAACAGAGAGAGUGUCUUCCAAUGGUGGUCUGUCAACCAAUUCUGAGCAUUUGCAGGCUUUAAAAAAUGAUCCUGAAGCUAUUAGUUGGUGAACACAAGAAAGGAAAGGGCAAAAGUCAGCCUUCUUUUUACAUGGGCGGUAAGCAUCUCUUUUCCUAACAUAAUUGUGUAUAAUUACUCGUAGAUGUUGAAAUUCUUGAUUUCAGGUAUUGACUUGCAUGAAACUUAUAUAA